UGCAGCACCUGAUGCCCCCGGAUUGCUGUGGCAUGUGAGGCAUGUAUGUUGAAUAUCAUAUGUCUAGAACUCUGUGAUCUAAAA
ensembl:snoRNA Gm23347 predicted gene, 23347